rnacentral:misc_RNA from 1 species
UUAAGUUCAGCGGGUAUCCCUACCUGAUCCGAGGUCAACCUAAGAAGUUGGGGGUUGUUGGCAAGCCUCCACCAGGACCCUAUAGCGAGGUAUUUACUACGCUUAGAGCCUGGCAGCACCGCCACUGAUUUUAAGGCCCGCCGGGUGGCGAAGCCCAAGACCAGCCAGGCUGGAUUGGUUAUAAUGACGCUCGAACAGGC